AGUGAACGCUGGCGGCAGGCCUAACACAUGCAAGUCGAACGGCAGCACAGUAAGCGCUUGCUCUUACGGGUGGCGAGUGGCGGACGGGUGAGGAAUACAUCGGCAUCUACUUUUUCGUGGGGGAUAACGUAGGGAAACUUACGCUAAUACCGCAUAUGACCUACGGGUGAAAGCAGUGGAUCUUCGCACCUUGCGCGAUUGAAUGAGCCGGUGUCGGAUUAGCUAGUUGGCGAGGUAAAGGCACACCAAGGCAACGCUCCGUAGCUGAUCUGAGAGGAUGAUCAGCCACACUGGAACUGAGACACGGUCCAGACUCCUACGGGAGGCAGCAGUAGGGAAUAUUGCACAAUGGGCGCAAGCCUGAUGGAGCCAUACCGCGUGAGUGAUGAAGGUCUUCGGAUUGUAAAGCCCUGUUGUUAGGAAAGAAAAAAAGCAUGUGAAACCACGGCUGUCCUGACGGUACCCAAAGAAUAAGCACCGGCUAACUACGUG
rnacentral:rRNA from 1 species